AGCAGCCGCGGUAAUUCCAGCUCCAAUAGCGUAUAUUAAAGUUGUUGCAGUUAAAAAGCUCGUAGUUGAAUUUCGGGAUCAAUAUUUCGGUCAUGCCGUUGGUAUGCACUGUUAUCAUUGAUUUCUCACCUUCUAAAGAACCGUAAUGCCAUUAAUUUGGUGUUGCGGGGAAACUGGACUGUUACUUUGAAAAAAUUAGAGUGUUUAAAGCAGGCUAACGCUUGAAUACAUUAGCAUGGAAUAAUGAAAUAGGACGUUCGAUCUUAUUUUGUUGGUUUCUAGGAUUGACGUAAUGAUUAAUAGGGAUAGUUGGGGGCAUUAGUAUUCAAUUGUCAGAGGUGAAAUUCUUGGAUUUAUUGUAAGACUAACUACUGCGAAAGCA
rnacentral:sRNA from 1 species